AGCCGCCGCGGUAAUACGAAGGGACCUAGCGUAGUUCGGAAUUACUGGGCUUAAAGAGCACGUAGGUGGUUAAGAAAGUUGGUGGUGAAAUCCCAAGGCUUAACCUUGGAACUGCCACCAAAACUUUUUAACUAGAGUAUGAUUGAGGUAAGCGGAAUUUCUAGUGUAGAGGUGAAAUUCGUAGAUAUUAGAAAGAACACCAAUUGCGAAGGCAGCUUUCUGGAUCAUUACUGACACUGAGGUGCGAAAGCAUGGGUAGCGAAGAGGAUUAGAUACCCUCGUAGUCCAUGCCGUAAACGAUGUGUGCUAGACGUUGGGAAUUUAUUUUUCAGUGUCGCAGCAAAAGCGUUAAGCACACCGCCUGGGGAGUACGACCGCAAGGUUAAAACUCAAAUGAAUUGACGGGGACCCGCACAAGUAGUGGAGCAUGUGGUUUAAUUCGAAGAUACGCGCAGAACCUUACCAACACUUGACAUGUUCGUCGCAACUCUAAGAGAUUAGAGUUUUCGGUUCGGCCGGACGAAACACAGGUGCUGCAUGGCUGUCGUCAGCUCGUGUCGUGAGAUGUUGGGUUAAGUCCCGCAACGAGCGCAACCCUUACUUUUAGUUGCUACCAUUUAGUUGGGCACUCUAAAAGAACUGCCAGUGAUAAGCUGGAGGAAGGUGGGGAUGACGUCAAGUCCUCAUGGCCCUUAUGUGUUGGGCUACACACGUGCUACAAUGGUAUUUACAGUGGGAUGCAAAGAGGCAACUCCAAGCCAACCCUUAAAGAAUACCUCAGUUCGGAUUGUACUCUGCAACUCGAGUACAUGAAGCUGGAAUUACUAGUAAUCGCGGAUCAGCGCGCCGCGGUGAAUACGUUCCCGGGUCUUGCACACACCGCCCGU
rnacentral:rRNA from 1 species